CUCAGAUUUGCUCCUCUCUCAUUCUUCAACUUUGCUUGCCCAAGGAAGUGAUAAAUAUUAUCUAAAAUCAUCUGGUUACAAUGAGGCAGAAAAGAGGAAUAGACGUUUGAAAAGAGCAAGCUGAGGAUUGCCACAUUGUCCUGCAGGUAUAAAACAUUAAGGAACUACUUAAGAAGAGGUCAUGAAGGUGAAUUCCUGGAUAUUAUAAACAGACUUUUGAGAGCUGGGCGUGCUGGUACAUAUCUAAAAUCUUAACAUCUAGGAAGUAGAGGCAGGAGGAACAGGAGUUCAAGGCCAACCUCAACUACACAGGGAAUUCAAAGCCAGCAUGAGGCCUUGAAUUUGUGUCAAAAACCAA
rnacentral:lncRNA from 1 species